GAGCAGCAUGCAGACGAAGAAGAGGAGAGAAGACAAAAAGGAGCUGUAGAGUUUACCGUUUGCAGUUUGUGAACUUUAACUUGCUGUUUGCAAUUUAUUGUCACCUUCCGUUGAUGUGUGUGCGUGGAUGUCCGAAACUACACCUUUACGUCAAGUUAGCGAAUAAACCGCAAGUUAAACCCGUUGGAGUGCGACUCUGUUUUCUUCGGAGUUCUAACCGGACUCACCACAGCGAUCUGAAUUUUUCCACCAGCAAUUAUAAUCCCUAUUCCUUAUAUACCUAAAACUGAAGUUACCACUGUUAGUACUUGUCCUCUGUUCUUCCUGCUCUCUGUGAAAGUGAAUGUCUUUUUCCUUCUCUCUAACUUCAUCCUGUUUGCUCUUGUGUGCAUUACUGUCUGGCUACUCUUUUUUUGGAGCCUCCCUUUGCAUCUUUUUUUUCUGAAUUGCAAAUCAUGGGUCUGGUCAGUUGUUCUCUCAACACAAUAGAUAAAAUUUUCUCAACAAGAAGACUGCCUCGUUGAGCAAAGGAGAGUCCUCUUGCCCCGAUGGAACAUACUCAGUUGGAUACAUACACUUUGGAUUCCUGGGGGAAGUGGAAGAUAGUGUGUGUGUCCAUACACACUGUCUUGUAUGGAGAUGCAACAGAUCUCGAGAUGUUGCACUGAGAUCUGCAACAUCUCGAUGUUGAAGAUGUUGCAGAUAUCUUCAACAUUGAGGAUAUUGAAGAUAUCUGCAUAAUUUGAUUCUUGAUAAUGAGAUUGCCUUUUGGAGUUGGCUGUUACCUGGAAUUUCAUGACAUCCGGAAAACAUUGUCAGCUAUUCAGGCCAUUGGGAACCUGCCUCGUUCGCACAAGGGAACGUACCGAGCGGUGAACACUCAGACUCAGAGGCUGUGCAACCAGAACCAGAAUCUGAACACAAUUCUUGCUGAGAGUCACAGGUCAAUUUGGAACUUACUGGCAAGAAGGCAUUAACCUUGGUGAAGUUACUUGUUCAGGUCAAUUGCACUGACCACAUAUUUUGGCUGUUUUGGCCUGUCCUAAAACAGCUGCUGUUAUCUGAAUCUGGCUGCCCCUGUGUCAGCCUUGGAAUGCUGGCUAUAUCAGAUUCUUCUGGAUGUCACGUAAACCAGAUGCUCUGCUCCCCCCUUCCCCUUUCACCAUGACAUCUGUGGACCUGUGGACUUGUCAACCUGUACCGAGCUCGCUGAUGACCGCUCCAUCAAUCAUCAAGAACUAUUGCUGGGGUGAGCAAACUUGGGCAAUGUUUAUAGACUUACUUAUUUACAAAUGCAUACAUGGAUACAUAUGAACUGCAUAGCUAUAAACACAUACUCCCUCAACUCACUGCCUGCGCUGACCCCCAUCCUUAUAUUGUCUUUAUGUUGUUUUCGUAUGCAGAGGUUUUUUGCAACCCAACACUAACUAAUAGGACACAGCUCAGGGUUGCAUCCUCAGGCAUCUGUUCAACCAUGAUUGAUUUGUUUUUGUUCUUUGGAUGGGCUGCAUUGAAAUAUGAAUUUCCUUUCUCAAGAUUAAUAAAGAUUUUCUUUCAUUCA